GAGUUAGGGAUGAUUAUAAAAAUAAUUCUUUAUUUUGACUUACUUAAUUUAGGCAUGACAAAUCUCUUAUUAUAGCUACAGAAUCUGAGCUCC
rnacentral:snoRNA from 1 species